GGAGAUGUAGCUCUGAGGUUUGAGCCCAUGCUUUGGAUGCAUGUGGUCCCGGGUUCGAUUCCCGGCAUCUCCA